UACAGAGGUCCCAAGCGUUGUUCGGAUUCACUGGGCGUAAAGGGUGCGUAGGCGGUCGGGUAAGUCUGAUGUGAAAUCCCGCAGCUCAACUGCGGAAUGGCAUUGGAUACUAUUUGGCUAGAGGGUUGGAGGGGGGACUGGAAUUCUCGGUGUAGCAGUGAAAUGCGUAGAUAUCAAGAGGAACACCAGUGGCGAAGGCGAGUCCCUGGACAGCUCCUGACGCUGAGGCACGAAAGCUAGGGGAGCAAACAGG
rnacentral:rRNA from 1 species